ensembl:ncRNA lncRNA:CR44241 long non-coding RNA:CR44241
AUGUGCUGUGGAUCAGGCGUGGGGGCACUGUGCACAUGGCAAGGCACAUGGCUCCGGUUCCUGUUCUGGUUCACCCGGAGGCAGGUCCUUUCAUCCUUGUCUCCUUUCCGUCGCAAUCAUUUGCGCGCCAGUUGGGGAAAAUCUUUAAACAGUGACGCAAAUGCGGGCUGGCGUAUAAAUUUCACACCCAGCACCCACUCGUCGGACUUGGCAGACUGAUUGUGGCACUCAAGAAGAGUCCUCCAGUGGUGGGCCAUCACACCACAUUACGAAUGGAAACCGCUGGAAACUUGCCAGUUCGCUCAAGUUUGAUGCAAGCAGUUGCGGUCCUUAGUACGCGAUUGAUAUGGACUCAAGUCCUGCCGGUUAAUCACAUUGCCAUAGUGUGUUGUGCCUUUCAGCGAACAACAAGUUAAAGCAUCCCGAAUAAUUCGAAACAAACACGCACACAGGCCUGCCAGGCAAUUGCUUAUUAAAGUCCAAUUAUAAGUUUG